AAUUGGAGGGCAAGUCUGGUGCCAGCAGCCGCGGUAAUUCCAGCUCCAAUAGCGUAUAUUAAAGUUGUUGCAGUUAAAAAGCUCGUAGUUGAAUUUCGGGGUCAGUAGAUUGGUCGUGCCACUGGUAUGUACUGGUCUUACUGGCUCCUCCUUCCUGAUGAACCGUAAUGCCAUUAAUUUGGUGUUGCGGGGAGACUGGACUGUUACUUUGAAAAAAUUAGAGUGUUUAAAGCAGGCUAACGCUUGAAUACAUUAGCAUGGAAUAAUGAAAUAGGACGUUCGAUCUUAUUUUGUUGGUUUCUAAGAUUGACGUAAUGAUUAAUAGGGAUAGUUGGGGGCAUUAGUAUUCAAUUGUCAGAGGUGAAAUUCUUGGAUUUAUUGAAGACUAACUACUGCGAAAGCAUUUGCCAAGGAUGUUUUCAUUAAUCAAGAACGAAAGUUAGGGGAUCGAAGACGAUCAGAUACCGUCGUAGUCUUAACCAUAAACUAUGCCGACUAGGGAUCGGAUGAUGUUAAUUUUUUAAUGACUCAUUCGGCGCCUUACGGGAAACCAAAGUGU
rnacentral:rRNA from 1 species